GGCAUGUUUCAUCCUAUCGUUAGAUCCAGGCUUCAGAAUGGGCAGAAAUGUAAGAAGCAACCUAGUUAGCUGCAUUAUUUGUCUUUCGGAAGAUAUAUUGGACCGACACUCCAGCAAACUCAUUGAGGGUAGUUCAGAUAUCAUGGAGAAGCAGGUGGGCCUCUAGUUGACCCGUGUUGUUUCGUAUUCAGUUGAUAAGCAUUGCUGAAUCAUCCUCAAUACAGAUUCUUUCCGUCUGAAGUACCUGUCUAGCAUAAAUGAUGUUUAUCCAGAUGGUUUGAAGCUUUGCACAUGGGACGGAAGGCUAAAAAAUAUACGAUCUCCUAUUGCCAGCAGUUUGGCAUCUGGCCCUUGGAUGAUAAAUCCAGGAGCAUUCUAGUCAUUUUUGACACUGUUAUUAAAAUUGAUCUUGAAAAAUCUCGAGGAUGGGAGCUUUUAGGAAAUGAAGAUAAUUUUCUAUUUCGUUGCAGGAGCAGGAUGGGAGAUUUAGGACUUAAGAGCAUCAAAGGUCGGACCAGCAGCAUGGAAAUAAUAGUAUUUCUCAGUCAGAUCAAUAGCUUUCUCCAGCACGUGGUGUAUGAGCACUAUGUCAACAUCGAAGAUCAAACUAUACCUAAAGAACCAUAUGUGAUAAGCGACAUAUGCCAUCCUUCCUCCAGAUACAGAUCAGCCCUCUAGUGGCGGUCUGGCGAAUCAUAUCCAAAAAGGGAUCC
rnacentral:lncRNA from 1 species